GCAUGGCUGAAUUCUGUUUCACUUUUCCUGUAGUAAACACAGUCAGACACCAUGCAAAAUUAUCACUCGUUCUCUGACUCAAUCACAGUGGUACCUUUUGUAUGUUAUUACUAAUAUGAAGAGAGCACACAA